rnacentral:rRNA from 1 species
AUUGAACGCUGGCGGCAUGCCUUACACAUGCAAGUCGAACGGCAGCACGGGAGCAAUCCUGGUGGCGAGUGGCGAACGGGUGAGUAAUACAUCGGAACGUGCCCAGUAGUGGGGAUAACCCGGCGAAAGCCGGACUAAUACCGCAUACGACCUAUGGGUGAAAGCAGGGGAUCGCAAGACCUUGCGCUAUCGGAGCGGCCGAUGUCAGAUUAGCUUGUGGUGGGGUAAAGACCUACCAAGGCGACGAUCUGUAGCUGGUCUGAGAGGACGACCAGCCACACUGGGACUGAGACACGGCCCAGACUCCUACGGGAGGCAGCAGUGGGGAAUUUUGGACAAUGGGCGCAAGCCUGAUCCAGCCAUGCCGCGUGCGGGAAGAAGGCCU